CAGCUUGUUGGUGAGGUAACGGCUCACCAAGGCUUCGACGGGUAGCCGGCCUGAGAGGGCGACCGGCCACACUGGGACUGAGAUACGGCCCAGACUCCUACGGGAGGCAGCAGUGGGGAAUAUUGCACAAUGGGCGAAAGCCUGAUGCAGCAACGCCGCGUGCGGGAUGACGGCCUUCGGGUUGUAAACCGCUUUCAGUUCCGACGAAACGCAAGUGACGGUAGGAACAGAAGAAGGACCGGCCAACUACGUGCCAGCAGCCGCGGUGAUACGUAGGGUCCGAGCGUUGUCCGGAAUUAUUGGGCGUAAAGGGCUUGUAGGCGGUUAGUUACGUCGGAAGUGAAAUCUCAGGGCUCAACCCUGAGCCUGCUUCCGAUACGGGCAAACUAGAGGGAUGCAGGGGAGAACGGAAUUCCUGGUGGAGCGGUGGAAUGCGCAGAUAUCAGGAGGAACAC
rnacentral:rRNA from 1 species